CCAGGUUUCAGCCUUGAGAUCCUGUCUUGACUUCCCUCAAUGAUGGACUGUAUGCUUUAAAGCACACAAACACAACUCUCUCCAAGUUGGUUUUGGCCAGUGUUUUUUUCAUAGCAAUAGUGAUAUAAAAAUCCUACUAAAGUAAUUCCCAAAUCCGUGAUUUCUUGUCUUUCCAUCAUAAUUGUAUUUUAUGUACUGGUUAAUGUAUCCUAUCUGGUAGUUUUGACACCAAAGGAAAUUACGACUUCAGAUUCUGUUGCUAUCACAUGGGUAAACAGAGCAUAUCCUUCCAUGAAAUGGGUUAUUUCUUUGGGGAUCUCCUUCUCAUCGUUGUCAAGCACUGCCUGUAUAAUACUUUCAGCAUCAAGGAUUUUCUACUCUGCAAGCCAAGAAGGACAGAUGCCGCUCAUCUUCUCAAUGCUUAAUGACCAUCACAGUCCUAUUGUAGCUGUCACUCAAGUUGUCAUUUUAUCUACAAUUUCAAUAAUAAGUUCAAACUUAACCAGUUUGAUAAAAUAUAUAGGACUAAUAAACAUUUUCAAUGAAGUACUAUGUAUGAUAGCUUUACUUAAACUGAGGUAUCAGAAGCCAGCUCUUCCUAGGCCUUAUAAGGUAUGCCUGCCAUUUAUAUUUGGAACUUUAGCUCUGUCUUCAUUUCUCAUUUUGACACCAUUGAUUCAGUCUCCUAAAAUCGAAAAUAUCUAUCAAGUUAUCUUUCUCUUCAGUGGAUUGCUGGUGUACUGGCUUCAAGCUUACCUUUAUCAACAUUCUGAUAAUUUUAAAACAAUAACAUGUUACUUGCAAUUGCUAUUUAAUGUUUCACCAUCUGACAAACAAGACAAAGACAUUUUGGCUGAGUAAAA
rnacentral:lncRNA from 1 species